rnacentral:misc_RNA from 1 species
GAACUGCUUUCCUCACGUUCGAUCAGUGAUUGCUCCACGUUCUGACGUUGGGUGCAUAGCGGGGGGUUUCUGUGUUGCCUACCUAUGGAGAUGGAUAUCGGUUGCCUUCGUUGUGCCUUUCGUCCUCGCGUCCUCUUGGACGUUUGGAUGGACAGUAGACGGAAUCGCUUGUGUUCUACGGACGUCUCGCAUGAACGUUUCGAUGGAUCACGAUCGCCUUCUUGUUCUCUCGGAUGCGGAAAGUCCAUCACGGGCGUGGGCUAUCGGCCCUUGGUCCUGAAUCUGUAAGCGAUCAUCGCUUUACGUGGGAAUGACGCUCUCGCCUCGACUUCGACCAUGCGGAGCUCUCGGACUCCAUCGAUGGAUCGUGCGGGGCGGACGUCRGGAAGGAAUGC